GAUGAACGCUGGCGGCGUGCCUAAUACAUGCAAGUCGAGCGAACAGACGAGGAGCUUGCUCCUCUGACGUUAGCGGCGGACGGGUGAGUAACACGUGGAUAACCUACCUAUAAGACUGGGAUAACUUCGGGAAACCGGAGCUAAUACCGGAUAAUAUAUUGAACCGCAUGGUUCAAUAGUGAAAGACGGUUUUGCUGUCACUUAUAGAUGGAUCCGCGCCGCAUUAGCUAGUUGGUAAGGUAACGGCUUACCAAGGCAACGAUGCGUAGCCGACCUGAGAGGGUGAUCAGCCACACGGGAACUGAGACACGGUCCAGACUCCUACGGGAGGCAGCAGUAGGGAAUCUUCCGCAAUGGGCGAAAGCCUGACGGAGCAACGCCGCGUGAGUGAUGAAGGUCUUCGGAUCGUAAAACUCUGUUAUUAGGGAAGAACAAAUGUGUAAGUAACUAUGCACGUCUUGACGGUACCUAAUCAGAAAGCCACGGCUAACUACGUG
rnacentral:rRNA from 1 species